AUAUUUCAUCUACCAGCUAGCAUUGUUAAUUUGGAGGGGUGAUUUUUUAUUUACUAGAAAUCGAAGGCUAAUACCAUUGUUUACUAAAUCAAUUAUGCCCCUUUUAAAUGUUGGUUCGUUAUUGUUAUCCUCACUUUCGGACUAUCAAUACUUCAGCGCAUAGAAUGGACUAUUCGAGACACAAAGCGGAUCUUGCUCAAAUAGUGAAAAUCAGUGGAAAUGUGUAGUACGGAUUUUUACGGAAGCACCGAGACCCUCUCAAGCAGACGAUACUCUCCGAUGUCCAAUUUUGGAGGUAAACCUAUAGGUUCCAGCAGUUUAAAAAUGCUAGGUAUAUAUGGCGGACUAAAAAACUAUCACCAUCAUCAAGGAAUCUAUCUUCCAGCGCUGCACGCCGAAAACACCUCGAUCCAAUAUAGACUGCACCAUCUGAACAAAGUUCAAAUAGUCCCUAGUUCCAGUAAUUUCAGUAGUGCGAAGUAAAUGUCAAUAUAAGUGAUUGUUUUCUGUAGACAUAUGUCUCAUAUUUAAGCUA